rnacentral:rRNA from 1 species
UACGUAGGGUCCGAGCGUUGUCCGGAAUUAUUGGGCGUAAAGGGCUCGUAGGCGGUUCGUCACGUCGGGAGUGAAAACUCGGAGCUUAACUCCGAGCCUGCUUCCGAUACGGGCAGACUAGAGGUAGGCAGGGGAGAGCGGAACUCCUGAGUGCUAGGUCGGUGAAUGCGCAGAUAUCAGGAAGAACACCGGUGGCGAAGGCGGCUCUCUGGGCCUUACCUGACGCUGAGGAGCGAAAGCGUGGGUAGCGAACAGG